rnacentral:lncRNA from 1 species
CAGAACACUCCUCUUCCCCCUUGAUUUUCUGCCUAAAUUUGCAUUUUCUUCUUAAGAUUUUCACUCCCCUUAAUUCUGCUCUUCCCUCUGAUUUCUGCCUUACUGUAUAUCCCAUGGAGUCACCAGGAUCAAAGUGGGUAACAGUCAUGUAUGCAUGUAUGUGUGUGUACAUAUACACAUUGUUGGGGCUGGAGUGUGGUGUGUGGGUAAGUGUAUGAGUUGGAAUCACUGACUGAAACUCUCCACACCAGGCUGUGUUCCUGCUCAUUGCUGGAGGUACUGUCAGGGUCCCUGUCCUCAACCCCUGGUCUGACACUUGCAGAUCAGGCAGGACAUUCUGGAGGAAUCAUGCCCUUGGAAGGAUCCCUGAGGAGUGACUGUUGUUAGAUUAAAAAACAGUGGCAAAGAGCAAUACAGAGAGUUGCCAAAAUUCACACCGCUGGUCCAGGUUUGAAGCAAGCAGUCUGUACCUGCAGUCCUUGUCUGUAACCAUGGCACCCUGGCUUCUCACACAUCUCAUCGUGGAGUUCCACCAUGUGUCAGGCAUGGC